GAUGAACGCUGGCGGCGUGCCUAAUACAUGCAAGUCGAGCGAACGGACGAGAAGCUUGCUUUUCUGAUGUUAGCGGCGGACGGGUGAGUAACACGUGGAUAACCUACCUAUAAGACUGGGAUAACUUCGGGAAACCGGAGCUAAUACCGGAUAAUAUUUUGAACCGCAUGGUUCAAAAGUGAAAGACGGUCUUGCUGUCACUUAUAGAUGGAUCCGCGCUGCAUUAGCUAGUUGGUAAGGUAACGGCUUACCAAGGCAACGAUGCAUAGCCGACCUGAGAGGGUGAUCGGCCACACUGGAACUGAGACACGGUCCAGACUCCUACGGGAGGCAGCAGUAGGGAAUCUUCCGCAAUGGGCGAAAGCCUGACGGAGCAACGCCGCGUGAGUGAUGAAGGUCUUCGGAUCGUAAAACUCUGUUAUUAGGGAAGAACAUAUGUGUAAGUAACUGUGCACAUCUUGACGGUACCUAAUCAGAAAGCCGCGGCUAACUACGUGCCAGCAGCCGCGGUAAUACGUAGGUGGCAAGCGUUAUCCGGAAUUAUUGGGCGUAAAGCGCGCGUAGGCGGUUUUUUAAGUCUGAUGUGAAAGCCCACGGCUCAACCGUGGAGGGUCAUUGGAAACUGGAAAACUUGAGUGCAGAAGAGGAAAGUGGAAUUCCAUGUGUAGCGGUGAAAUGCGCAGAGAUAUGGAGGAACACCAGUGGCGAAGGCGACUUUCUGGUCUGUAACUGACGCUGAUGUGCGAAAGCGUGGGGAUCAAACAGGAUUAGAUACCCUGGUAGUCCACGCCGUAAACGAUGAGUGCUAAGUGUUAGGGGGUUUCCGCCCCUUAGUGCUGCAGCUAACGCAUUAAGCACUCCGCCUGGGGAGUACGACCGCAAGGUUGAAACUCAAAGGAAUUGACGGGGACCCGCACAAGCGGUGGAGCAUGUGGUUUAAUUCGAAGCAACGCGAAGAACCUUACCAAAUCUUGACAUCCUUUGACAACUCUAGAGAUAGAGCCUUCCCCUUCGGGGGACAAAGUGACAGGUGGUGCAUGGUUGUCGUCAGCUCGUGUCGUGAGAUGUUGGGUUAAGUCCCGCAACGAGCGCAACCCUUAAGCUUAGUUGCCAUCAUUAAGUUGGGCACUCUAAGUUGACUGCCGGUGACAAACCGGAGGAAGGUGGGGAUGACGUCAAAUCAUCAUGCCCCUUAUGAUUUGGGCUACACACGUGCUACAAUGGACAAUACAAAGGGCAGCGAAACCGCGAGGUCAAGCAAAUCCCAUAAAGUUGUUCUCAGUUCGGAUUGUAGUCUGCAACUCGACUACAUGAAGCUGGAAUCGCUAGUAAUCGUAGAUCAGCAUGCUACGGUGAAUACGUUCCCGGGUCU
rnacentral:rRNA from 1 species